rnacentral:rRNA from 1 species
GACGAACGCUGGCGGCGUGCUUAACACAUGCAAGUCGAACGGAAAGGCCCUGCUUUUGUGGGGUGCUCGAGUGGCGAACGGGUGAGUAACACGUGAGUAACCUGCCCUUGACUUUGGGAUAACUUCAGGAAACUGGGGCUAAUACCGGAUAGGAGCUCCUGCUGCAUGGUGGGGGUUGGAAAGUUUCGGCGGUUGGGGAUGGACUCGCGGCUUAUCAGCUUGUUGGUGGGGUAGUGGCUUACCAAGGCUUUGACGGGUAGCCGGCCUGAGAGGGUGACCGGCCACAUUGGGACUGAGAUACGGCCCAGACGCCUACGGGAGGCAGCAGUGGGGAAUAUUGCACAAUGGGCGGAAGCCUGAUGCAGCAACGCCGCGUGCGGGAUGACGGCCUUCGGGUUGUAAACCGCUUUCGCCUGUGACGAAGCGUGAGUGACGGGAAUGGGUAAAGAAGCACCGGCUAACUACGU